rnacentral:rRNA from 1 species
AUGCCACUAGGGAGCAGACUUUGCAGCGACUGCAAUAUGAUUAGUGGGCACAACAAAAGAACUUGCGUGAAAAGGCAGUUAGAGAAAAAGCUUCUGCAAGCACAUGAGAAAACGUAUGGGACUGUGGACAAAUCCAAGGUUGCUACAACUAUCAAGAAACUGUUGUCGAAAGCAACUAUGAAGGAGGAAGCUAUCAACGACAGCGAAAAUAUGAGUGACGACAGUAAUGAAAAAAGUGAUAGUGACGAAGACGCUGAGCCUUCACCAAAGAGGAUGUGCAUCAACAAAGAUGUUGGGCAAGGCAAGAUUUUUAAGAAAAGAUGCAAAAAGUGUAACAAGGUCGAAGGGCACAACACUCGUACGUGUGAUGUAGUCAGAAUAGGCAAUGAGAUUCUGGAAAUUACAGAGCAGAUGGUUCACCAGGGAUAG